AGGAAAUAGGAAGUGACAUCACUGGCCUCCAGAGGAGCCAUUUCGAAAAGCUGGAAAAACUGUCCUCAACAACAUAUCCCAAAAAUACACCCCAGAUGAAGCCAGCAGAGCUGACACAAGCAUCAAAGAUGGAGGAAGCCGGGGUGAAAACGGCACUUGGGCACAGACAUAGUCGAGGGACGAUGGAAGGAUUUGUUCAGUCAGGUAGAGACUAUGAGUGUCUGUGGCUUUAAAUGACCUCAUAGAUUCCUGGUACUUGACAAAAUACAAAUACGUCAAGGUUAUUAAUUUGUGGCCUGGAAUUCCAGUAGUGUAAGAUGCCAUGUACAGUCACCCCUCCUAUAAACUACUGUACUGCAUUGUACAAAUUCCUUUGACGAACAUGAUGAUGGCGAUCGUAUUGAAAAAGGCCCUCAAACAAUUGUGGCACAGACGCAAACAAUUGUGGAUGGCAGACGACAGGAUGUUAGCGCAGACACUGCCAACAUGCUUCCUCAAACAACACAUGCAUGCAGACACACAGACACUGACUGACAAAAAUGAGAUGAAGAACUGGGCAGUCAGAAAAUUAUUUUAUUAUUUAAAUUAAAUU